GUCGUGAGAUGUUGGGUUAAGUCCCGCAACGAGCGCAACCCUUAUCCCUAGUUGCCAUCAGGUAAAGCUGGGAACUCUGGGGAGACUGCCGGUGAUAAACCGGAGGAAGGCGGGGAUGACGUCAAGUCCUCAUGGCCCUUACAUCCCGGGCUACACACGUGCUACAAUGGCAGGUACAGAGGGCUGCGAAGCCGCGAGGUGGAGCGAAUCCCAGAAAACCUGUCUCAGUCCGGAUUGAAGUCUGCAACUCGACUUCAUGAAGGCGGAAUCGCUAGUAACCGCGAAUCAGCAGGUCCGCGGUCGAAUACGUUCCCGGGCCUU
rnacentral:rRNA from 1 species